rnacentral:rRNA from 1 species
UUUGGAGCUUCGGCCGAUUUCUAGAUGGACAGCGGCGAAAGGGAGAGUAAUGAGUGGAUUACCUACCCCCAGGACCGGGAUAGCUGUGGGAAACCGCAGGUAGUACCGGAUAAUAUCUCCGGAUCAAAUGGUGUGAUUCCGCCAGGGGAUGGGUCCGCUUCCUAUUAGCUUGUUGGUGGGGUAACGGCCUACCAAGGCUUCAAUGGGUACCGGGUGUGAGAGCAUGGCCCGGCUCACUGGGACUGAGACACUGCCCAGACACCUACGGGUGGCUGCAGUCGAGAAUCUUCCGCAAUGGGCGAAAGCCUGACGGAGCGACGCCGCGUGCGGGAUGAAGGCCUUCGGGUUGUAAACCGCUGUCAGUUGGGAGGAAAUCUAUGAGGGUUAUCCCUCAUAGUUGACCUAUCUUCAGAGGAAGGACGGGCUAAGUUCGUGCCAGCAGCCGCGGUAAGACGAACCGUCCAAACGUUAUUCGGAAUCACUGGGCUUAAAGGGUGCGUAGGCGGCUUGGCAAGUUGGGUGUGAAAUCCCUCGGCUCAACCGAGGAACUGCGCUCAAAACUGCCAAGCUAGAGGAAGAUAGAGGUGAGCGGAACUAAUGGUGGAGCGGUGAAAUGCGUUGAUAUCAUUAGGAACACCUGUGGCGAAAGCGGCUCACUGGGUCUUUUCUGACGCUGAGGCACGAAAGCUAGGGUAGCGAACGGGAUUAGAUACCCCGGGUAGUCCUAGCUGUAAACGGGUGAGCACUAAGGUUGGGAGGCUCCUCUACUAGGGCUUCUCACCGAAGCCGAAAGAUGGUAGAUG